CUGCACUUGCUACGUCAUCGAAAAUGUGAAGUAAUGAACACAGCAUCCAGUUUGGUCGGUAGCAGUGGCAACUUUUAUCUCCAAAUUGCGUUUUCAGGUGGCAUGGAAGACGCAACAGACAUCCAGCCACAGCUCUCAAGAAAUACCUCGCUACCUCCAUUUUACUGAAACAGAGGAAUUCAAGGAACUCCAUCACCAAAAGGCAAAAUAAAUGCUCAACAACAGAACAAGCACCUCUUCCAUCUCCAAUUGGUCAGGACACCAUGAACUCACGCCUGGGCAGAAACACCAGUUCUGAUGACACACUUGCAUCAACAUCCCAAGGGCCUCUGAGGUAAAAAGGUACUGUGGCACCAAAUUCAAUGGAUUGAAAACAUCCCUCCAUAAGGCAUGGAGUGGAGUAAUGAAGCCAAGGUUAGAUUUGGGAAGGGCAUCUGAGGACAGAGAGCAUGAGUUUUACAAAUCCAUAUUUUGAAGAGGGAAUGGACAAAAUAUGAAUACAGUGGGGGGGACAGCAAGUAAGGAAUUUGUCUCUGCAAUACCCUCCCUUUGACUGCCAGGAAACACUGUCCAAAGAGGCUUCUGUGGUACAAACAAUAACUAGAUGGGAAGAGGCACUCCUGAAUUCAAGCCCAAAUGCCACAAUAGGAAACAGCACCUGAGCACUGCAGUGAUGAAGCACCUUGCCUGCAAACUCACCAGAGGCAAGCCACUUCUGCCACCCUGCAGGGCUACCUGCAGUACAGAGGGAAUCAUGGCGAAGACUUCCCUGCAGGCCUGGAUAAACCACACAAGGAACCCACAACUUCCUCACAGCUCUCCAACUCAUUCAAGAAAUAAAACUACAGCAAGUAGAGAUCCCCCACCAUCUUUUUCAUGUGUGUGUGUCACACACCCACAGUGAUGCUGAAGGUAACAAAUUAACAGCUUACAUUAGAAGAUACUGAAACCUUUUCUUCAUCUAGCUUUGCAGGUUCUCUUUUAUAUAUGUAGUCACCUCCAAUUCUGAGUCAAAAAAUGAGCCCUAUUUUUCAGAAGUGCUAUGCAUGCACAACUCUAGCUGCUGUUCCAGGUGCACUGCAAGGAAUCAGCACUUCCAGAAAAACUAACAAACAAACAAAACAAAAACCAAGAAAGCAAAACACAUUUGGGUACAUGAAAAAGGACUGGCUGGAAGGAAAAAUGUUUCUCAUUGACCUACCAAGCAGCUGGUGUUACCUUUAGUUUAACUUUACACACUGAGAACUACCUGAUUGAACAGCCUUGCAUCAACUCAAAUUAAAAGCAGGUUUUGCUAUGUCACAGCUGUAAGGUAGUUUUUCAAUCUUAGGGUACAAUGAGUUACGUAUUUCAAGAUGAAAAAUCACACCUUCAAGUGCAAGAUAAUGCAAUUUGGAAGAAAUAAUUUAAACUAUUUGUACAGAGGAAAGGGGAAAGAAUUAGCUGAAUCAACAGCUCAAUGAAGACAUCUGCUCAGCAUGAAGCAUCCUCCCCUAUUUCAUUCCCCAGCCCAAACUUCCUUGUUAAUUUUUUCUUCAUCCUCUUGGCCUAAUUUUAAAACUCUAGCUGUCAUCUUCCCAUCUUCUGGGAUAACCUCUAUUUCUAAUUUCACUUGUAAAUCUCCUACCAAUAAGUUGCUACUCUCUCCUGGGACCAAUGAGACAUCCUCCAUCCAAAAUCUAGUUUCUCCCUCAAUUACCACAUUUUUAAUGACAGGAACUGUGAACUCUCUCUUUUGCUUCUGUUACAGUAGCUUUGCUCACACUAUAACCUUUUGGAAUAUUUAACAGACAGGUUCUUUCUGCCCCUGUGUCUACCACAAAUUCCAAUUCUUCUUCUUGGGGACCCGCUUUUAAAGUUAUCACAGGCUCCAGAUGAUAUUUGUCCCCUAAAAAAUAGAGCCUCUGACAUCCCUAUUCUUCCUCUGUGCUCAUCUCUUUGUAAAUUUUCAGAUCUUUUACCUGCUUAGGACAAUCUUUCCUAUAAUGUCCUUUGCCCCUGCAGUAAAAGCAGACAUUCCUGGAAUGCUCCUGAGACUUGGUUUGUAUUGAGGUUUUAUUCUUUCCUGUUCCCCUGUCUCUACAACCGUCAUAUCUAGUAGUGCCUGUGUGUUUUUUAUUUUUUUUGUAAUUGUUUUCUCGCAUGGUGACUGCCAUAAUUUUUGCUUUUACUUUAGCUUUUUCUUCAUCUCUCCAGACAUAAACUUUCUGAGCUUCCUUUAAUAAAUCAUCUAAUGAUUUAUCAUGCCAGUCUUCAAUUUUUUCUAUUUUUUUCCUAAUAUCUGGCCAGGCAUUAGUAACAAAGUUAAUCCUUAACAAAGCUUUUCCCACAUCAGUUUCAGGAUCUAUUCUGGAAUAUUGUUUUAUAUUUCUCCUAAGUCUGUCUAACCAUUCCGUUGGAGUUUCUUCUUUCCCCUGCUGUGCCUCAAAAGCCUUUUAGCAUUUUGCCCUCGAGGUGCUGCCCCUUUUAUUCCCUUGUAUAUUAAAUUACGAUACUCCAUAA